GCCAGGCCCAAGUUCGCUAUGUCUCCUCCUGGUUUUGUCGCUUUGCUCAUACGAUUUGUUUGCACUUUUCCCUAUUAUGAGCUUAGCCAUCUCCUGAUUUGGUGAAUUCUCAGCCCUUAGAACCAGUCAAUCUCUACAGAGGAUCCCGCGAGGCUUCCUGAUCUGGCCACUAACUGUUGGCGUUCAACUCCAGCAAUGACAUGCCAGGCUGAAGCUUAAUUCUUUAGAAUAUUUUUUUUUGGCUAGCUUAUGGCUCAGCUUCCUCUGUUCAUCAGGGAGCGGUAUCUCUGAGGCUUCUCAGGGAAGUACCACUCCUAUCAUCAACUUUGGGAUUCAGGGUCUGUCCUGGGCCCCAGGAAAGCCCUCUGACCUAUCCCUGAUUCAGGCUUUCAAUUACAAAUCAUCCUGGCAUUGGUUCAAAGUGCCCCAACAGCCCCUGGAGCCCUGCGGCUGGGCAGAGCGGCCCACGUGGCUUUUUCGAUCUCCAGGGUGUGACAACGUCGCUGUGGCCUUGGCAGUGAUGGAGGAGGGGCGCUGGGAACACGCUGGAAGACAGGCAUCGAACUGAAAUCAAAUUUAUCAGCACACGUAUUCUUGGGUCUUUGCGCAGCCUGUCAAGUUUUCAAAGGAAAAAAAAAAAAAGCCUGUCUUCUUUUGAUGACUCUGAAGAAAUGCUUGCCAUCAAUGGUGGAGGCAAGAAGUGUAUCUCUCCUAUGUAACCUGGGGUUCUCUCAAAACACCCAAGGUGCAGGGCUCUUUGGGAGCCCAAUGUGGCAAAAUGGUGCCUUUCCAGAUGCAUGCUGGGUUGUUCUGAAGAUUUUGCAAGUUGGAGAGACACAGGAUCCUGGGGCCAAACUGGGCCUACUGAGUCUAACCCCUCAUGUCAGAGCUGAGGAAAAAGAGACCCAGAGGUUCUGUGACACCUGGCCCCCCGCCAGGUCUUGGUGAAUGGCGAAGUCAGCACGAAACUUCAGAUCCUCCCCAGGUGAUCUUCUACAAUUCAGUGCCGCCCAUGAUGACAAAUACGAAAGCUUGUUUAAAAGGUCCAGCUAGAAGGGCCUUUGAGGGGACAGGAAUUCUGGCUCCUUGACAGUUGGCAUAGUCAAAAGGAUGUUUUAAGUCACUGGACACCAGUCGCUCUGACGCUGCUGGAGCUGAAAUCUCCUGGGACAUCUGACACACAGCUGGCAGAAGCCAUUCCAGCUCUCAGGGGACUUUGUCAUGAGCAGCCCCAGCCUGUAGGAACCUUUGUCACCUCAACCUUCAUUGCUUGUUCUUGCUGGAAAGCCCAAUUCCAGUAGCGCCUGGAAUCAUCAGUGUCACAGAUGAGCAGAUCGAUGGCUGGAGGCAUCCCACGACUUUGUGGGAGACUGGAGACACUGUUAUUACUACACCAUCCUUCCUGCCUACGCGACGAAAGCUUUUGCCUUCCUAGACUAAUUGCAGGAGUCAACUUUUUGAAUCAUGGGGGCUGCACCAUCUAUGCCCUCUGCGGACACUUCCUGCAUCUUCGGUGAAGCCAUUAGAAGGCUUAUUGGUUUGAGUAACUUUUAAUAGAUCCUACUCAUCAAUGGCCAGACAAUAGAUCCUUUAAAUUGGCUAGAUUUAAAUUAUAUAUAUAUACCUGUGUGUGUGUGUGUGUGUGUGUGUGUGUGUGUAUAAAAUGAAGGUCUCUCAAUUGUCUUAUUAGUACAAUAACUAGUCUGAAGGACUCCUUUGACAAAAUAAAAAAGUAGAAAUUAGAAUAAGACUUAAAUGUCCAUAUCCAACAUAUAUUUCUCUUCUUAAAAUCCAGGUUCAUCUGCCUAUUUUAAUUUUCCUUUCCCUAUAAGAUCUACAGAGAACACUCUGCCCUCACCUCUAGGUUCUAAAAACACAGGUUGCUCAUGUAAAUGUUGAAAGCUUGAAAAACAAAUUUAGCAAAAGCCCGUGAGACUGGCAGUGAGGCUCCCUACCUUCCAGGACUCUGGAGUCAGGCUCUACCUGCUUUGGGCAUUCCUAUACAAUGUCCUUUGCUGUUGUAUCUGAGAGGGCCUACUGCAAAAGAAUUCAUGUCCCCUGAACAGCGGGGGAUUUUUUAAACUGUAAAGCCCUUUCCCUCUACUUUCCAAAGACACAACCAAAUUUAGAAGGAAAUCACAAAGACUAUUUGACUAUGUUCACAACCUUCUCUUCACAGAGGAAACAGAGGACCAAAAUUUCUCACAAGCCCUUCUAGAAAUAAUCUGCAAAAAGUCACUAAUCAAGGGCUAAUAGAAGCCAGAAAAAAGGCUUACCCAGAAAAAAGGCCUUUGUUAAAAUGCUUUAUACAGACUUUACAAAGGCAUAAAUCUUUUGGUUCCCAUUUUGGUUAAAAAUCUCGCUGAGAGAAACAAAUUUAGUUUAAAAGGUGGGUCAGUCCUUUGAUAUUCAGGCUGUGAUCUAGGUCUUUGGGGAAUUAGAGACAACUGUUUUUAUUUUACAAAUCUCUACGAAGCCAGAAAUGAAAUUUAGAAACAAGUCAAAGUCCACCUAUCUUUACCCAUCUCCAAAACUCACCUAUUCCUCUCACAGUGUUUGUGAAUAUUAUAAAAGACCAAGAUACUGGAACAAAAUGGUCCUGUAUUUUAAGGGGAAAAGAUGUAAUUUUUAAAUAGAAAUCACCCUGAAACUCAAGGGAAAAACAUUUUUUUUACAUUCUUUCUCUAUCCCUUGAAAUGAUAAAUCUUAUCAUACUUUUGAAAUAUAAAUACAGCCCACAGUCUCCUGAGAUUGAAGGAAAAAAGGCAGGGUGGUGGCAGGGAAGAGGCCCUUUUAAAAUCCAAACUGCUAAAAGGAUCCUAAUGUCCCAACUAUCACAUCUGAGAACAGGCAGAUAGGUUCUAAAUAUCCACCUUGGAAAAAAAUUUGGGUGUUUUCUCUGUGUCUUUGUGAUGUAAACUCCCUCCCUUCUACCCCUUCUUCUCUAGAACCUCAGAGCCAUUCCUUGAAAUGCAAACUUCAAGAAGUUUCUCGUGGGAGGGAGGGGAGAAGUAUUUAGAAAUUGAGUCUAUAAUGUCGGCUACACAAAUAUUAGUAAAAAAAAAAAAAAAGCAAAAGCUGGGAAAGAUUUUGUUUGUACCUUGUCUUUGUAUUUUUGCAUCCACAUAUGUUGUAAAGGUGAAAUAUUUUCUCUAUCUCCGGGUGGUAUUGCUAAAAUUAAUUUGUAAAAGAGGUGUAUUUUAGCUGGUUUGAAGGCAAGUACUUGUAAGGAUUGGGCAUUCUAAAACUCAGAAAGUUAGAAACUAACCUAAAUGUUUUUCAGGUUCAUAUGAUUUGGGAAAAUAUCUGAAAAGAAAGCAGGUUGAAGGUUGUUGGUUUAAUUAAAAUAGAUCUUUAGAGUUAUCAGCAUUAAAUAGAAAAUUUGUAUUCUGCGUGUGUUGACUAAAAGUCAGAGACGUUCAGGUUAUCUCUCUCUUGCCAAAUUUGUCAGGGGAAAAAAACAAAACAAAACAAAACCUUAGAAUGGCUGACUUUGUCUAAUGCUUCAUGAAGUUUUGUGGGUAGUCUAGGCAUAAUCCUUAGGAGCAAGUAAAUUAAAUAGAUGUCAGUAAGAUAAACAAAAAAGUUUGUAGAUAAACUUUUAAAUAGCUUCCAAAAUCUUUGGUAACCUAAAACUUUAAAAUUUUUCUAGGUUGAACCGUGAGUAAGUUUAAAUUCAUUGAUUAUCUAGAUCAUCUCCAAAUAAGAUAACAUAAUGAACAUUUUAUACUGAAUAUAACUUAUCUGCUUUUGUUUUAUUACAGAAAAACUAAUAAUAAAUUUGGAUCUGUUAAUAAACAUCCUUUAUGCUUUAUUGAAAGAUAAUACUAUGGAAAAACACAUGUUUUUUUAGAAAUUAUGAAAUAUAUUCAUACAUUUGCCAAUCUAAAGAAUUAUGGUACAGCAGACAAUUUGCAACUUCUUAUUAUUUAGUUUUCACUAAAAAUUAAGGUUUCUAAGCAUGAAGAAUUCUAAUGAAUGUAAUUAAGAUGACUGGAAUUAAGGGAAACAACCCUGUAUGCAAGGAAAGUAAGAUAUGUGUUUUUGGUAAGAAAAAGUCUGAGGAAAAAGAACACAUCUUUGUUGAGGGAAAACAAAAUAAUUUUGUCCUAAAGUGAGACUUAGUUAUUUAAAGCUGGAAAGCUUGGGGCAACAGCUGAAUGCAAAAAAGAAAGUUGCAGAAGGUUUUUGGACAAAGAAUCUUUGGAAAGAAAUUUUAUGUGUGGUCAGUCCUGGCUAAGAUCAAGAUAAAUUAAGUAAGUGAAUUUAUUUUAAUAUCAAAAACACACUGAGGCAAAAUUAAAAUUUUGUUUUCUCUUUGUGAAAAAGGACUAAAUUUCCUUAAACUAUUGGUCUGCUCUUAAUGAGAAACUGUAAACAAAAGUUUUUCUUUAGCUUUUAAGUUAUCUGCGUAAAAAACAAUAAUUCUCUUUUGCCAAAAUAAUUUCCUAUGUUUAUCAGGCCUUUGAUUAGUUAAGAAAACUGAGUCUUUAUUAAAAGAGCUGUGUUUUGCUUACCACUGUGUAACCUUGCCUGUGAAAUCUUAUAUUGUCAUUUUGGCUAUUUGUAUCAUUAGGUAUUCUUUCGUAAUGAUUUGUGAUCCUAUUUAAUCAAUUUUUAUAUACUUCCCAAAAUCAAAUUCUAAAAUCAAGUUUUUGACCACAGUCUAACUGAACAGGGGGCCGUUAGAACAUUUCCAAAAAAGGUUUGCAAGAAAUUAAACUAAUUAGGCUUAUAUGGUGUGCUAAAUUACAUGGGUAGCAUUGUCCAAUCAGUGAUAUUAAAGCCUCUUAGAUGAUAUUUAUGCGGGUAACUAUGAAAAUCAGUGUUCUUUUUAUCAUUAUUAUUAAAUCUGUGUUCUAAAAAGUUUAGGACUUUUAUGAAAGUCCUAAAAAUCUGACACCCUGGCAUGUUAUUAUCUUGACGUGUUGUGGGUCCCAAAGCUAACCAAAUUUCCAUGUCAACUGCAUUGUAAUGAGUCUAAUCAGAUCGUUAACUGUGCCAUUUUUAAGUCUUCUAUUAUUUACUGGCAAUUAUACUUUUACUCAGGUGAUUUUAUAAAAGCUUCCUGCAAACAUGCUUCAUCUUCAGGGAGAUUCAUGGAAAGAACUCUGAGUACAGGUUCCUGAUAUGCUCAAGAUCAUCAAACUGAACUAAGUAAAAAAAAAAAAAAAAAAAAAAAAAAAAAAAAAAAAAAAAAAAAUCCAGAACUAGUGAAAAAACUGGAUUCAAGCAGAAUAAGAAUUAAUAAUAACAUGGGAACUGCAUAAACUAAGGAGGUUAAUUAUAAUUUUUAUGACUUUUUGUUUGAAACCUUGCUGAGUUUUUAAAAAUACAUUUUUUUCUAGAUUAAAGAAAACUUCUCUUAGGCUAACUAGUUGAUAGCAAUGUGAUAAAAUAUACCUUUGUGAAUAAAUUGUAACAUUUAUCUUUUCUCCCUACCCGAACGCCCCAGAAUUCAGAAAUUCUCAGUGAGUAUUCUUAUAUUUUUAUGGCAAUAUAUUUAUUUGCCUAAGUUUAACAAGAACCUGUUCUCUUUAUGACAGGACAUGAUUGGAAGCCUUAGUUAUAUUACAAAGGCUUUGGCUGGAAUGUCGUAUUUGAGAGAGGCGUGCAUAGACUCAGAUAUGAACAGACAGCCUUAAGGAACUAAGCCUGACUUUAUGGAGCCAAUAAAACCCCUUGGAAAAUAUCAGCCUGGUGCAUUGCUUACAAAGGUCCCAGCAGCCUCACCAGGUGAAUAAAGAAGGUCAUUCCCUGGCAGGUGCAGGAAGCUCAGGAUGUUCUGGGGACCUCGAGAAGAGAGGAAUUCACCCAAGUCUGUAAGUAUUGCAGAUUAAGUCAGAUGGCAAGUAUUUGGCUUCACUUCUGGCCUUAAGAGGCUAUUAAAAGUUCAUUCUAGAGAUUCCUUAUGAAAAGUUCCAACAAAGCAGAGUUUUAAAAGCCUAUAUGUGUAAAUAAUCAGGCCACUUUUUUUUUUUUUUUUUUUUGGAAACUAGACUUAUUUUGCAAACAAACUAGUGUUAAUCUGGCUACCGUUGGUAAAAAUGAGAGUGAUUAUAGAGAAAAUAUGUUUCGAUAACACACCUUUGUAAAUAGUAAAUUUUAACACUAUUUAUUAUAAGCUGGCCUAAAUCCUGAUUUCUUCUAGUGUUCUCCAGUGCCAGGCUACAACUCUCCAAACUAAUGUUUUUGAAUGUUUUCCCACCUUUCUGACUUGGAAUCAUUUGAGAACUAAAACUUCCCUCUUCCUUGAAGCCCUGCAAACUUAAUACAAAUGGCUUGGUGUAAACUUCAGAGAAAUUGCCACAAUGGCUCAUGUCUAGACAAUCUUUGUACCUACUGCACUGCGGGCCACUCAACAGAUUGCUAGAGACAUGUGAGCUACAAACCAGGAGAAUCUGUCGCAUUGCCACGGCCUGCCUUCACUCUGUCUGAAGAUGCUCGGAGCCUGACAUCUAGAAGUCUUGUCAGCUGGCUGGCUCAGAACUCAGAGACAGGUUUAUAAUCUGAUCUAAUCAUUAACCGCUGCUUUUCUUUUAUUUCCGUAGAAAGGCCUCUUAUCUAAUACCUGAUUACUUGACCAUAGGCCUAGCUUGGAGAAACGCCACCUUCUGAAAUGAGUUCAACUAAGCUGACCUAUUAUCAAGACUCAGGGGAGUGGUUCGGUGAGACGAAACAAUCUACCAGCUCAACUUUUAAUGUGUGAACCAUCAGGAAGUUUCAGGGGGCGGAACUGUGAGGGCCAAAGACAGGCUGUCCCAAGAUGGGCCACUUUGGUAUGAAGACUGUUUUGAGCUGAAAGCAGUCGAGACCCUCUAGGUCAAGAGGAACUCCUUGCUCCUCCCUGAGCUGCAUAGGAGAAUCUAAGUUGGAAAUCUUUCCCAGAAUAACGGUUAUUACCACAGAUACAUUUAUCUGCAUGACCCAUCUGUAGGGCAGGGCAGACAUCUAAGUACCAAACACCUCCUUUUCUUACUGCCCUGUCACCUGCAUUUUUUCCCUUCAAAGUCCCAGACUCCUACCCCUUCUCCUCACCUCAGGAUGGCAUACAGACCUCAUUUGGCCUGACUGUCUUUGGAAUUUCCAUGUCUGUGUGGAUUCCCUGUAUGUAUGCUAUUAAAUUUGAUUUUCUCCUAUUGAUCCAUCCAUGUCAGUUUGAUUCUUAGUCCAGCUGGAAGGACCUUUGCGAGGACAGGUAUUCUUGCUCCCCGACAUUACUCUAAGGUAAACAUUCUCUCCCAUUUCACCCUUCACAAAAUCUCCAAGGAAAUGUUCCAAACCCCAGGGCUCUGGGGCCUCAGAGAAGGGCCUGCUUCUCCUUGGGUCACAUAGACGUUCCCAUGACUGCAAGUUGUCUUGCAGAAUUCCACAAACAAAGCCAAUCUCACAUAGUGCUGAUAAAACAGGCAUUUAUCUAAUGGCAUUUUUAGAGCAGAGGUGAAGGGACACAUGCUCACGGUGUCACAAUCUUUGCAGAAAUUGUUGCUGGAAGUCAGGUGGAUACCACACGCAUUUCCUGGCAUUGCUGGUGGCCAUCCUGGCCCUCCUGCUCAGCUGUCCUCAGGGUGAAAUGCCCUCCUCAGAUUCAGAAGGGAGAACCCCUCCCCACUCUGCUGCCUUUCCCCCAAAGUUGUGUUUGUUGCCCUUCCAGAUCUCUGCUUGGUCUGUGGACCUCAACGCUUAGAGUCCUUCCACCCAAGCUGUCAGAUGCUGGUUCAGAAGUCCAUUUCCCUCCCCCACCCCCCCCCGCCCCCCAACACUCCCCACAGGCCACUGUUACCUUUCUCACUCCCCUCCUCAUCUUCAAAAGCCAGCUGGACCGACUUCACUCUCAUUGCUGAGACAUCAGCUUAAGAAAUGAAACCCCCAGCCCUUCCUUUUCUUCUGAGCCAGCAUUCCAGGCCAGCUGUGAGGGGAAAGGUCAGCCCUUAGUUGCCUUUCUCCUCUGGGACCUGAGAUUUCAUUCAUUCCCCCUUCAUUUCUGGAAUGUUGCUUCCCCAUCUGCUCUUGUGGUAGCACACAGGUUUUAUCUGCUCUGCUUCCCAAGCUUUUAUGGAAGUUGUCCCAGCCUUCUCUGGCUCUCCCACUCUCUGGGAAUGUUUUAUAAAGUUGCGGCUGUCACGUUUCUCCCAAUUAUUAAAGCACAAGGACACUAACCUGACAUCCAUUGAAGCCCCAACCCAGUGCUCUCCCGGUCACCACAAAUGACCUCUGUUCCUCCUCUGGCUUUUCUUGAGCCUGGGAGAAAUGAAAUUCCAACUUUCUUUGCUGUCAGCUACUUACAUGCAACAGCCACACGGAUUCUGCUUCAUGAGAUAAUCCAUAUAUUUUAAGAAAAAGGUAACUCCAAGGACACAGUUAUCUUAGCUCUUAAUUAUUUCACUACUUACAAUAUUUUUUACCAAGAUAUUCAGCUUUUCAAGUAGAGUGCUCCUUCUCUGAAGAAACUGUUCAAAGUUUGCAGCACCCAUGACUUCUUCCACAAGAGGGCAACAAUUAAGGGUGGACAGCAGAACCUUUUUGGGGGGUGGUUGCUACUCUUCGUUACAAAAUUUUUGUUUGUUCAUUUUCACUGGAAAAAGGCUUUGCUGAAUGUAAUUCGCCUUUCCAAUAACACAGCUCUUCCUUAUCUCUCUACACUGUGUUUAAAAGCACCUUGUCUAAACUCGUCUUAACUAGGCUGACCUCAAAUCCUUGUUCAUUUUAUUUUUUUAUUUUUAUUUUUUGUAAUGUUUAUUUUUAUUUUUAAAAGAGAGAGAGA